rnacentral:rRNA from 1 species
GACAGAGGGUGCAAACGUUGUUCGGAAUUACUGGGCGUAAAGCGAGUGUAGGCGGUCCGAUAAGUCGGGUGUGAAAGCCCUGGGCUCAACCCAGGAAGUGCACUCGAAACUGCCGGGCUAGAGUAUCGGAGAGGUUGGUGGAAUUCUCGGUGUAGAGGUGAAAUGCGUAGAUAUCGUGAGGAAGACCAGUGGCGAAGGCGAAUCUCUGGACAGAUCCUGACGCUGAGGCACGAGGGCCAGGGGAGCAAACGGG